CUGGGACAGAACAGGCAGUGGCUACCUUGAGCUACACAUUUCUUAAGUUUUCAAACCUUUUUGAAAAGGAGUAAAUCACCCCUAGGGUCCUGAUUGGCCAAUUUAGUCCUUUGGAAAUUCUGUGAGAUUAGGAACAGGCUGAGCUGGCGUUUCUGCAGUGGACCAACGACAGCAGGCCUGAUGUCACAGAGGCAGUGAGACCAAGCCAAGGUCUGCAAUCAAGCAGCCUGGGUUGUCACCUGGCUGAUGUGGGGAAGAAAUGGCUCACAAUCCUCUGGUUCUUCCAUGAUAAAAUGACCAGAAAAAUGUUCACUAAACUGUCACAAAGAAAUGACAUGUGUCAAUUUCAACUACUGGAUUUUAACGCAUAUUCAUGAGUAUUCCAUGCAUCCUAAUCUUACAGCA